UACGAAGGGGGCUAGCGUUGUUCGGAAUUACUGGGCGUAAAGCGCGCGCAGGCGGUCUUCCAAGUCAGUGGUGAAAGCCUGGAGCUCAACUCCAGAACUGCCUUUGAUACUGAAGAUCUUGAGUUCGGGAGAGGUGAGUGGAACUGCGAGUGUAGAGGUGAAAUUCGUAGAUAUUCGCAAGAACACCAGUGGCGAAGGCGGCUCACUGGCCCGAUACUGACGCUGAGGCACGAAAGCGUGGGGAGCAAACAGG
rnacentral:rRNA from 1 species